UGUAUUUUGUUUUGCUUUUCCUUCGGUUCCUCACUUGCAGCAGACUUCUCUCAACCCUCUCCUCUCAACCGUGCCUCAAUCUCUAGACUGGAUGUGGAUCGUCGCCGUCGAGCACCUUAUUCGGCGCCACUGGCUUCCGCCGAUUUUACCCUCUUCCACGAGUUCGUGACUACGAUUUUUGAAAUCUUGGUUGUGCUCCCUUCAAGCUCGACGACAGUUGUGCUUAAGUUGACUUCACCCCGCCAUCCAACGCCAUUUUCGAUCCCUCCUCAUCGCGUCGAGCAGUAGCCUUAUGUGGAGCAUGACUCCUGUUUUUAAGGUUUUCUAUUCUCGUUCUCUAGGAGUAAGGCAGUGACCAAUAGAAGCCACCGGAUACCACCUGUCCAAGAUAAUGUGGAUGGUUCAGCUGAAGACUUGGAAUAGAAAAUGUGAGCAAAGCUAAGUUGAGGGUAGGGAAUCGAGUACCUAAGGUACCAUUGCUAGUAGAAGAUUUCAGUUGAAUAUGGGGAUUUAAUUAUUGUUAUUUGGCUUAGUAGGACCUAUGGGAUUUUAUAGUUUAUUAUGUUGAAGAUAUUGAUAGAUCGUGCAAACAUUAAAUUAUGUUAUUUGAAUUUAUCGUGACAAGUAGUAACUCUCCGACCCCUCUG